rnacentral:lncRNA from 12 species
GCCACAGUGGCCUAGGGACGUCUGGAGGAAGCACCCGCUAGGAUAAUCCCUAGCCCACAGGCAAGAUGCAGACCAUCCCCGACGGGCACAACGGCUUCUCCGGGGUCAAAAGCGGGGAAGAAUGGAAAGUUGUGUCUGAACCCAGGUGUGUUUCCAGGCUGGGGCCCUGGCUGCACACAGCCCUUCCCUGGGGCCUGUGGAGAGGCGUGCGGUUGUGUCACUGUGUGCACACAGGCCAUUGCCUGCACGGAGUGGGGAGCCACCCCGAGCGCUGCUCCUGAAGGUUCCCCCAGGAGUGGACUCAGGUAGAGGGUCCCAGGCAGUGAGGUCACUUCCUUGACACAGAGCCCAACAGAACUUGGAACCCCAGUAACCAGGCACCCACAUUCUAGUGCAGCCCCACCUCAGGCUCACUUGGCUGGAGACAUCCGCUACUGAAAGAUGUUCUCUUGCUGCUUUCCCACUUCUGGGGACUCUGGCUUCCAGGAACCCCAGGGAUGCUGCUUGUUCAAAUGCUGUAGACUUUGGCUCCACCAUAAAAACCAACACCUCAGGGCAUUUAUCAGGAGGCUCCGUAAGGGUGAAAGGGCCUCAACCAUGAAGUGGAAUCAGAUCUGCCCAAUGAAGCCCAGCCGGACAGAGCUGCUGGAGCACGAAGUACAAGAACUGCUGCCCGCCUUGCUGUGCAGGGACAUCAUCUAUAUUUUCAAUUUCUUAGAGGACUAUCAAGUAUUUGGCAGCACUGCAGAGGUGCUGGACCUGCUGUUUAACAAAAUAUGUAUGCAUCGUAGCUGCCUAUGAGGAGAACGACGGAGUCCUGGAGCAGUGAAAAAUAUAGUGGUCACUGCUCUAGUUCACUGUUCUGCCCUGGAGGAGCCACCUGCACCCUUGGGACCCCUAGAGGAGGAACAGGCACCACCACCUGCUAUCGAGGUCACCAAUGUGCUGGAGCAGUCACCUAACUCAAUGGAGCAACCAGCUUUGGACCCCAAGGAACACCCUGAACCACCCCAAGAGCCCGCCCCAGCUCCAACUGUGGGGCCUGCUGAAGCUUCAGGGCCUGAGGUGAUCGAGCGAGUCCCGGCUGCUGGAGCUGAGGGCUUGGCCCGAGCCGUGAUGCUGGCUCCUGAGUCCAAAUCAGUGCACGUGGUGGUCGCACCUCUGAUUCCCUGCACUGAUGAGGAGGAGCCACCUGCACCCUUGGCCACCCCUGAGGAGGGGUAGGCCCUGGCGCCUGUAAUCGGGGUCCCCAAAGUGCCGGAGCUGCCACCUACCCUUGGAGCAACUGGCUUCGACCGCUGAGCAACACCCCGAACCACCUCAAGAGUCUGCCCCAGCUCCUACCGUGGGGCUCGUGAUGGCUGCAGCUCAACAGAAGGCUUACCCUCCCCUGUCAUUGCACUGUUUCUAUAUUUUGUGUUUUUCAUAAACCUCUAUAAUGGCUUAUGAAUUUUAUUUGUAAUAAAGGAUAAGUUAACUUCA